GCCGCUACCGACGAGGUCGGAAGAGGUUGCUCCGAAUGAUGAUGUCCUCCCCUCCCCUCCCCUCCCCUCUCACUCUUCCCUCCCUUGCCCGACACUGGAUUUGUGGGUCAAAACCCCAUUUCCUCCCUUACCCGGUUUGAAAACCCGGGUUUAAAGAGAGAGGUCAAUUAACCGGGUCACCCUAUUUAGUCGGAAUUAGGCGAUCUGGUCAAUUGCGCUUCCUAUACGACAAUAGUGUAGGCGCUGGAUGCCUUAGUCCUAAUUGACCGGUUAAUUGAAUUUAUAACCGACUAUAAAACUUGUCACCCCUGUAUAUCCCUACAAUGGGACAGUUAGAUGAUUAAAAGUCAAAGAAACCGUAACUGUUAUUUAGCUAAAGUGGAAGACUACAUCCCUUGUAUUAGAUCAGUCAUAAAGACCUUACGAUUCACAUCCACACAGCCGGCCGGGUUACGGUGCGAUCUAGCUUUCUUACUUUUCUGUGUUCUUCGGAUCAUUUAGGAAGCGUAAAACGCUGGUAAGGGCGCUCCUGAUGCUAAGCCUCGUCUUGGGUCAAAGUAGGAUUAUUUAUUAGAACUAAUAUCUUGACGAGAGAAGGUAGGAGGGCGUAUGCAUGUAAGAAAUUACACCUACGCACGGUCCACGGUUAUCACGGUAUCUUAGAUACAGGAGAACUCACAAUUGUAGUACCGGAGAAGAACCGUAGAGAAACAGGAUGGUCCUUCUGAUAAGAAGUCGUGAUAUCGUGUACUCUAGCUGUACAAAAAGAACAUUGGCGUACCAGAUGAAUUAAGAUGAUCUUCUCAUGAAAAUAUCUACAUUAGUACAUCUACUCCUCCUUUCAUUAUCACAUUCAUGUAGUUACGUACGACUGUGUUAAGUCAAAGUACCCGGAACCAACCGACUCAGGAUACGUGGUACGGGGUAUUAGUUCGAGGGAAAUUGAGGGACUAAAUCGUAGUAAGCGUACACUUCGUACAUAUAUAAUUGUGUAAACGUACGUACAGGUCCUAAUCGAUGGGGAAAGACGAAAUACGUAAAGAAUUAUAUAUAACUAGAUCACGUCCUUCAAGGUGGUGACCUAAAUUUGCUUGAGGAACGCAUAAAAGAUUUCGUUAGACCUGGUAACAAACUGGUUGAACCAUAUUUUUCUCUACACACACUGUUCGACCACCUCAGAGAUACGUCGUUCGCGUUCCUGGUGAAACGUACACUAGGCAACAGUUGAUCACUUAGUAGAAGGAAGUCUUUACUGUUAUGAACACUACUUGAACUAGAUUCUUAUCGAUCGCAGGAAGUCUCAUGUCCCGUAGUAAUACUUCCACCCAAAACCCUACUACCCGUUUUUAUACUACAUCGACUGUUCUCUGUACAACGGUAACAGUGAUGGCGGUCAGAAGGGACCUACUGCCCUUGUCGACAUUUAGGAAACAAAGCUCGACGUAUGAACCGAUUUAGAAGGUUCGUUAUACAUUGGAACUACCACGGGACCGAAACGUUCAGUCUGGUUCUCGAGCAGAUAGGCUUAUUGUACUGAAAAUCAAGAGGUCUUCUGGUUCUUUGAAUAUAUUCCUUAACCGACCUCCUUUCUCAACCUAAAUUUUGGCUGAAGUCUUAUAGUAAGAUAGGACCUUUCAAAGUCUUUCUUUCCUCUUCAUAUUAAGGACGACCCCUGUGAAGUGUUAAAUAUGGUAGUUUCCUUCGACUGUAACGUUAAGACCUUCUCGGACUCGUGGACUUGACCAUGGUAGUACCUUUCGCAACCUGACUAUUUAAAUUAGUACAGCAGCCACAACACGUAUGUUUAAUGAACCUCAUAUAGUUCUCUCUCUUCUUACCACGAUAAGUUCGAAAAAAACAGUUCGUGUAAUUGUUGGAACAACGGUCUCGAAUAACGGUAUUCCAAAACGCUGAUAGACCCCGAUGAGUUCUAGAUCGGUCUAGGUACUAGACGUUACAUGUACCACAAUUAGGGUUCAAAGACCUCCAACCCCUCUCUUAUCGUCGUCUCUCCCUUAGACCGCUCGUCAGGUACAGGUUUCCUCGAAUAAAAGACCCCUUCUACCAGACCCGGUUUCCGAUGUCUCUUGACUAUCUAAACGAACGCUUCGUGUUCUGCCUAAACCUGCCAAAGUUUGACCUGCAGAUACCUUUGCCACUUCUAAGUCAUCUUCACGUUAGUCGACGGUUCUUCGACCUAAAUUUAGAAUUGAAGGUAUUUCCGGCUCUAGUACGUCUGCUAAGAGAAGUACCCAUGUUCCAAAAACAUUUGGGCUCGUAAUCACUACAGGAGACGUGGCGGUGACGACUCCGUGAUCGGUACCCGUUCAAACACCAGACACGCCUAGUGGGUAGGUUACUAAAGAAGUCUAGUAAGGGUUUGACGGACUGCAUGUGCUGCAGUCUCCUAAAACAACGGUUUCACUUCCUUCGUUACUGGGCGCUAGGGGUCGGGGAGUGUGGACUCGUCGCCAUGUUGGAAAGCACCCUCCGACGCUGGGUCUCCAAGUACCUCGUGAGUCUUGACCUGUUCCAGGACUCGUCGUUACCACUAAGACGGUCGUGGAGACCUUCGUCGCAGCUAUCCUCCUACUUCUUUAGUCGGAGUAACGGUUUGUACAGCCUGUAGCACCUACCGCCGGAUCGUAAACGGGUGAUGACGAAGUGCCCGUCGCUCGAGGAGGCCGACAGCUGACCCCGCCACGGGCCCUGGGACUUGAUGUUAUUCGUUGUAUCGCACCUGUACGUGGACGACGGGGGAGUCCAUGUCUUAGGACAUAUACCGACCAUUCUGUCUUGGUGACGACAAUCAUCAUGUAUCUAUCCAGACAUUAAACACUGUGAUUAAGAAAAAGGAGGAGAGGAGUUACGGUUGCCGUUUCGGAACAAGUAAUAAUAGUUAUACUUGAUGUCUGAUGAACAUCGUGAUCUAUUCUCAACACAUAAGCUAGGGAACUCAAAACUACCGGUAAAAAGUGACCCUGCGAGUGUAGAAACAUACCGACCAUGUCAUCGUUACUCUUAGGAUACGGGUAAAGGGACACAGACGUGGCUUUGACCGGACGCAGCGAGGAGCGUACGCACAUGGCGUGACCACGUGAGUAUGCGACGAGGUGACAAAAGAUAGAUAGAUGAGGCUGAACAUACGCCAUGUCAUACGAGAUCACCAUGGUACUAACUAAAGUACUGUCCAUCUCGAACCUUACAGACGGACCAUGGUGAUGUCAUGCGGAAGUGUGACUACCGAGAACCCCUCUCCCGAGACGGCAGCUACGGUGCAGUGGGGACGGGUGGGUCGUACACAACAACCAACCGGGUUGACGACGGACGACGUAGUGGAUCCAUCCAACCAUGGGGAUGGGUCAUGACCGUACGGUCAACACCCGGAGCCCGGAGACUGCUCACUCGGGAAGAGGGGG
rnacentral:rRNA from 1 species